UCUUACCACAUUUUAUCUCAUCUAAUUCCCUCUCCCAGUCCCUGUAGUAAUCCAGUUUUAAUGUCCUUUUUUUCUCCACAGCAACUUGCCUGAUCUUGGCAUUAUUUCCAAACAUUUAAAGACAUAAGAGGAAGUGACUGAGCACAUACUGAAGUUCAUGGUAGCAGGACAAAGGUGAUGCUCAUACUGGAACUGGGAAGUAUCUGCCCGGAUCCAAGAAAAAAUAAAUUUACUUAGAUGAUAAUUAAGUUUCAGAACAGGUUCAAAGUUGUGCACUCACCAGUUGUAGUUUUUCAAGAUCCGAGUGGACAAAACCAUGAGAAAUCUGAUCUGAAUUCUGGGCUGACCCUGCUUUGAGCAAGAGACUGGACUAUAGAGCCAACCUGAGAGAUCCCACAACUCUCUGAGGGCAUUGCCGGACCUCUGUUCUAUGGCUCUAGUGCAUAUGUGAAGAGUGAUAAAGGUGAUCAGGCUCAUGGAGCAGUUUCUGUGUGAUAAAAGAAGUUUGACAAUCUUCAGCCUGGAGUGGAAUCAACUGACGGAGAAUCUGAUAGAGAUCUACAGGACUGGGAAUGACAUGAAAAGGAUGCCAAGUAAGUUAUAGAACUCCAUUUCAGAGGCCGUUAAGGGUGCUGGAAGUUGACACAGAUUCAAAAGUGAACCAAACAAAUCCACGGAAGGAGA